rnacentral:misc_RNA from 1 species
AAAGUCGUAACAAGGUUUCCGUAGGUGAACCUGCGGAAGGAUCAUUAUUGAAAUAAACCUGAUGGGUUGCUGCUGGUUCUCUCGGGAGCAUGUGCACACUUGUCAUCUUUAUAUCUCUCCACCUGUGCACCUUUUGUAGACCUGGAUAUCUUUCUGAAUGCCUAGCGUUCAGGUUUGAGGAUUGACUUUUGUCUUUCCUUACAUUUCCAGGCCUAUGUUUAUUCAUAUACCCCACUGUAUGUUAUAGAAUGUAAUAAUGGGCCUUUGUGCCUAUAAAACCUAUACAACUUUCAGCAACGGAUCUCUUGGCUCUC